GGAAAGAAAAAUCUGGAAGUUGUGUGCGACCUCUGAACCUUCUGCCAUUCUCGACCUCUGAUCCUUCUUCUUCAUUCCUUGCCGCCGCCGACGAGGCAGACGAGUUGCCGUGAGGUCGCUGUCGCUGUGCGAUGCCCAGGUUGCCAGCGCUGCAAACGUGGGCUGUGAUCGUCCACUGUUAGCAGUCCCAGUCACGAAUCCAUAGUUCUUCACUCUGCCGUCGAUCUCUGCGCUUCUCUUCACUGUUUGUGCUGUUGAAGUUUCUUCUUCUUCCUUCAUCCUUCCCAUUCGUAAGUGAUAAAUGAAUGAAGGGUUGGUGUGAUGCUAUGGGAGAAUUGAUUCUUGGGGGGUUUGGAAGAAGAAGAUUUUGAUAGGAACUAAAAGGGAGAAAAUCUUUGAAAAUUUGGGAACACCACAGAUAGUGUAGCUGACGCUGAAUCAUCUACUGAACAUUGAGGAGUUUGUGAUUGAUUAGAAGCGGAGGAGCUAAGGGUUAAACUUUCUCUUGACGUAAAGUUUUAAUUAUGAAAUUUUAUUUUGUAAACUUAUUGUUAGGUGCUCCACAUAGUCUGUGGUCAGGUUGUUUAUGUGGUUAUAUAUUCUGUCUAUUGGCUGGAAGAAGCUCUACUCCUGAUUGGCUUGAUAUUUUUGGUUGAAAUAUUGUCUUGUAGAAUUUUCGGGAGAUCUUAUUUACA